rnacentral:rRNA from 1 species
GACAGAGGGUGCAAACGUUGUUGGGAAUUACUGGGCGUAAAGCGCACGUAGGCGGCUUUGUAAGUUAGAGGUGAAAGCCCAGGGCUUAACCCUGGAAUUGCCUUUAAGACUGCAUCGCUAGAAUCGUGGAGAGGUAAGUGGAAUUCCGAGUGUAGAGGUGAAAUUCGUAGAUAUUGGGAAGAACACCGGUGGCGAAGGCGGCGACCUGGUCCGAUACUGACGCUGAGGCGCGAAAGCGUGGGGAGCAAACAGG